GGGUCAGGCCUUUUCAGGCAUCCUCUCCUAAAACUUUUCAAGGGUCGCCUUCGGGCGGCCCCUUUUUUUGCCGCUU
rnacentral:sRNA from 1 species